AUUGAACGCUGGCGGCAUGCCUAACACAUGCAAGUCGAACGAGUGGCGGACGGGUGAGUAAUGUCCGGGAAACUGCCUGAUGGAGGGGGAUAACUACUGGAAACGGUAGCUAAUACCGCAUACCAUCGGAUGUGCCCAGAGGGGAUUAGCUUGGUGGUGGGGUAGCGGCUCACCAAGGAGACGAUCCCUAGGUGGUCUGAGAGGAUGACCAGCCACACUGGAACUGAGACACGGUCCAAAGUCCUACGGGAGGCAGCAGUAGGGAAUAUGGCACAAUGGGCGCAAGCCUGAUACAGCCAUGCCGCGUGUAUGAAGAAGGCCUUCGGGUUGUAAAGUACUUUCAGCGGGGAGGCGUUACCCGCAGAAGAAGCACCGGCUAACUCCGUGCCAGCAGCCGCGGUAAUUC
rnacentral:rRNA from 1 species